UGGUCCGGUAGGUUGGGACAAACUACACC
rnacentral:piRNA from 1 species